UUUAUUUUCUAUGAAAUUUGGAAUUUAAUUUUGGUGGUUAGUAAUUAAAUUAAAUCAUAUAGAUUGCUUAGCGUAACUUUUGUCAAAAGUUUUUAAUCACUUUCUCUUGUUAGUGCAGUGACAGUAGAUAAUUAGCGAGGUUUAUGAAGUAUGUUAUGCAACGUGUCAUACGUCGGCGUGAACAUCCUAAUUCUAAUUUGUAAUUAGUUAUAUAAUUGACGUUUUAACUAGUUAUAAGUUAAUUUAGUUUCGUGUUACGGAAAAUUGUUAAUGCUGACUUUCAUUUGCUUAAUUGUUUAAAAUUCAUUACACUUGUCUAUAGAAACCAGAACAAUAAAUAUGAAAGUUACAAUAUAUACACUUACUAUGAAAGAAGAAAUGAAGC